CCUACGGGGGGCAGCAGUGAGGAAUAUUGGUCAAUGGACGAGAGUCUGAACCAGCCAAGUAGCGUGAAGGAUGACUGCCCUAUGGGUUGUAAACUUCUUUUAUAUGGGAAUAAAAUGUUCCACGUGUGGGAUUUUGUAUGUACCAUAUGAAUAAGGAUCGGCUAACUCCGUGCCAGCAGCCGCGGUAAUACGGAGGAUCCGAGCGUUAUCCGGAUUUAUUGGGUUUAAAGGGAGCGUAGGUGGAUUGUUAAGUCAGUUGUGAAAGUUUGCGGCUCAACCGUAAAAUUGCAGUUGAAACGGGCAGUCUUGAGUACAGUAGAGGUGGGCGGAAUUCAUGGUGUAGCGGUGAAAUGCUUAGAUAUCACGAAGAACUCCGAUUGCGAAGGCAGUUCACUGGACUGCAACUGACACUGAGGCUCGAAAGUGUGGGUAUCAAACAGGAUUAGAUACCCCGGUAGUC
rnacentral:rRNA from 1 species